AUUCUUGAUCUGUUUUGGCUGACAGUCUUACCAAAUAUGUACAUGCAGUACUUAAUAGAAUUAUAAGCAGUACUUAAUAUAAUUAUAAGCCAGGUAUCUUAGGAACUUUGAUGGGUUAUUCAUAUAUUUCUCUUAUUGUGUAUAUUAUUGGUCUUUAUAUAAGAUAAUGGUAACAGGGGUUGUUCAGUUGAAACCAGCACCUGGCAGGUACCUUCGAUCUUAUGAAUUGACUAGGAUUUUCAAUUUUUAUAACUUCAAUUUGGAUCAUUUGGUGGUUCCUUCCUUGCACACUUCCUUGCUCUACCAACAAAAACUGAAUCCAUUAGUCCUGAAAGUGGUGUUAAACCACUAAUUAAUCCAAUCAAAUCUUACUCAUGAUAUAUAAAAUGGUAGCCAUUUGGAUUCCUUGUAUUUUAAUCAGUUUAUUUGAAAACAUGUAUCAGUUUGACAUAAUAAACAAUAACCUAUGUUUCAUAUAGGAAAUGUUGAUUCAUUCUACAUUUUUCUCAUAAAAUGAGUAUGUGUGGACCUUGUGGUAUAUUUUUAUCCCCCCGUGGUAGUGGAGGUUUUUUUUAAAUUUAAUUGCUGCAAUUGCUAUCUGUUGAAAUUAUGAAAAAAACAACAGUUAAUUUUUAUAUCAUUUAUUAAUGAUGAAAAUAAAUAAAUCAUUCUUUGUACAAAUACAGUUAUUUAUAUAAACAUAAAUUUAGUUAAAAAAUUACUUUUGCAUGAAAAUCUUUUUUAUUUACAUGUACAUGUUUUGCUUAUAAAAAAAUGUUACUCAUUUUAAAUACACACAUAUAUGUCCAUACUGAGACUUUUCAUUCAAUCACACAAAAAAGUCUUUUCAAUUUUUUACAAUUUUUUCCCCUGAUAUCAAUUAAUUGAAUUAUUGUCUUGAUUCAUUUUAAUACAUUUGUAAAGCUAUAUCAAAACUCAUUAAUGCUGUGUUUAUAAAAGUUAUAGAAGAUCCUUGCAUUCCAUAUGUUUAAUUUCAAUAUUCAGUUUUAUGUAUAAUGCAUAACACUUCAUGGGGUAAGGACCAUUGUUUUUGUUAGUCUCCAUCAUGUUCCCUUAGCUUGUGUUAGAUAUUCUUUUACAGAAUUAAGAUUAAGGGGAGUUAAUACAGUUUCAGGGGAGAUAAUACAGUUUCAGGGGAGAUAAUUGUUACUAUUUAUUUUAGGCAAUACUCUCAAUAAUUUAACAGAAUCUGAAUUCUGAACUGUAAACCUUGAAAGUUAAUAAUUGGAAAAAUAAACUUACUUGGUCAACUUUUGUGGGGUUUUUUUUUAAAUUUAAAAAACCACAAUGAAUGCUCUCUCAUAUAAUCCUGAGUUUAAAACAUAUAUAGAAUAAAACAUAAAAAUUAAGGAAUGACAAUUUAAAUAAUGCUUUUCUUAUAUAAAGACUUCAUUAGAUAUAGAUACAUAUCUAGAAAAUUAAUAAUGAAUAGUCUGUACGUCUAUCUGAAGUAAGAUGCAGAUUUACAUAAAAAAAGAAAAAAAAAUGAUUAAAAGAGUAAAAGAUGUUUAGAUAUAAUGUUUGAUUUCAGUUCAACUCACAACCAUACACAAUAUCAAACACAAUUUCAUACAUACACAUACUUUAAAAUACAACAGAUCAUCUUUUAUUUUAUUCUAUAUUUUAGCGUUUUUUUUUAUAUCAAAUGUAGCAAAGAAUUUUCACAAGUUAAUUUCUAUUUGUUUAUCAUUAUUUGACACAUCAGAUCAAAUCCACAUCAUUUGGUCUCUGUUUGAUCGUUGUAAAAUUGGCAAUUUAUUAUAUAUUGUAAAUCAACUAAUUUUCGUCUUUAGUCCUUUAUAGUCCAAUUCCCUCAAUUUAUUUUCACGAUUUUCAAAUUUACUUUAUGUAAAUAGUACUUAACAGGAAAGUUCCAAAUUUCACAUACCGCGAAAAAAUGUCUGAUGCUACAGUGGCAAAAUGACAAGUCAGUAAUGUCAAAUUUAAACAUCUUUUAUGUAUCACUGAAUUCAUAAAUCAAAUAAUUGGUGAAAUGCUGAUUAAUUACUUUUGACCUUGAAAACCUAUAACCUUGAAAACAUAAUACCCACUUGGGCACACAAAAUAAUACUGAUAAUUGAUAUCUCAUUGAGCUGAAGAGAAUAAUAUUUUAAAGAAACUACUGCUUAAAAGAGAAUAAAAUAUUGACAGUGUUUUGUGCUUUAUUUAAUGAAAAUUGCAAAACAAUAUGAACUUAAAAAUUGUCUUAACCCUUAUUUCCAAUUCAGUUUUUUGAACAUAUAAAUAUGUUACCAGAAACUUUUUUGUCAUGCACUAAUUUUUCUGGAGUUUGCAUUUAUAAAGAUUAAGGUUUGACAAUAAAUGCAAUCUCUUAAAUUAGCCUCUAAAUCUUAUUUCAAGUCAGAUUUUACAAUAAAUAUAAUAGAAUGAUUUUAUAUUCUGAAAUUAUUUGAUUUUUACACAUAGAUAUAUUGCACAUUACUAAAUUUAUCAUGUAAUACUUUCAUAAACAUAUCUAUACUUUUGGUAUUAAAUAAGAUUUUUGUCUCCAAAUGACCUUAUAUAUGUCUCUGAACUACCUAGUUACAAUUAUUAAUAUAAAAUUA
rnacentral:lncRNA from 1 species